GAGGAGCCUCCUGUGGCUACUGAGGCGCUGCUGAGUCUAACCGCUUGUCUUGCCUGACUUUGCAGGUCGCAGUCCUUCUCCUCUUCGCCGUCUCCUUCUCCCACGCCAUCUCCACACAAGCCUCCUCCCAAAGUCAAAGGGGAAUCUGCAGUCCUGGCUGGAAAGGGUGAAAAGCUUGUGAAGAAACUCCUUGCCCCACCAGCACCUCCACCGGUGGCGAAAGUUGCCCCCUCUGCCCCAGAGCCAGCCAAACCAGGGGACAACAGGGAGGCAAGGCGGAAGGAGCGGCAAGCGAGGACCCCUCCCAGAAGGCGGGCCGUCAGUUGCAGCGGCAGCAGUUACAGCGGGUCCAGCUCUCACUCGAGGUCCCUGUCCCGGUCCCUGUCGCGGUCCUCCUCAGCCUCGCUCUCCCCGUCUCCAUCCGGGUCCAGGAAAUCCAGGUCUCUGAGUGUCAGCAGCGUCUCUUCCGCCUCCAGUGCCUCCUCCAGCAGCAGCUCGGUCC
rnacentral:lncRNA from 1 species